UGGCUCAGAUUGAACGCUGGCGGCAGGCCUAACACAUGCAAGUCGAACGGUAACAGGAAGCAGCUUGCUGCUUUGCUGACGAGUGGCGGACGGGUGAGUAAUGUCUGGGAAACUGCCUGAUGGAGGGGGAUAACUACUGGAAACGGUGGCUAAUACCGCAUAACGUCGCAAGACCAAAGAGGGGGACCUUCGGGCCUCUUGCCAUCAGAUGUGCCCAGAUGGGAUUAGCUUGUUGGUGAGGUAACGGCUCACCAAGGCGACGAUCCCUAGCUGGUCUGAGAGGAUGACCAGCCACACUGGAACUGAGACACGGUCCAGACUCCUACGGGAGGCAGCAGUGGGGAAUAUUGCACAAUGGGCGCAAGCCUGAUGCAGCCAUGCCGCGUGUAUGAAGAAGGCCUUCGGGUUGUAAAGUACUUUCAGCGGGGAGGAAGGUGUUGCGGUUAAUAACCGCAGCAAUUGACGUUACCCGCAGAAGAAGCACCGGCUAACUCCGUGCCAGCAGCCGCGGUAAUACGGAGGGUGCAAGCGUUAAUCGGAAUUACUGGGCGUAAAGCGCACGCAGGCGGUCUGUCAAGUCGGAUGUGAAAUCCCCGGGCUCAACCUGGGAACUGCAUUCGAAACUGGCAGGCUUGAGUCUUGUAGAGGGGGGUAGAAUUCCAGGUGUAGGGUGAAAUGCGUAGAGAUCUGGAGGAAUACCGGUGGCGAAGGCGGCCCCCUGGACAAAGACUGACGCUCAGGUGCGAAAGCGUGGGGAGCAAACAGGAUUAGAUACCCUGGUAGUCCACGCCGUAAACGAUGUCUACUUGGAGGUUGUGCCCUUGAGGCGUGGCUUCCGGAGCUAACGCGUUAAGUAGACCGCCUGGGGAGUACGGCCGCAAGGUUAAAACUCAAAUGAAUUGACGGGGGCCCGCACAAGCGGUGGAGCAUGUGGUUUAAUUCGAUGCAACGCGAAGAACCUUACCUGGUCUUGACAUCCACAGAAGAAUCCAGAGAUGGAUUUGUGCCUUCGGGAACUGUGAGACAGGUGCUGCAUGGCUGUCGUCAGCUCGUGUUGUGAAAUGUUGGGUUAAGUCCCGCAACGAGCGCAACCCUUAUCCUUUGUUGCCAGCGAUUAGGUCGGGAACUCAAAGGAGACUGCCAGUGAUAAACUGGAGGAAGGUGGGGAUGACGUCAAGUCAUCAUGGCCCUUACGACCAGGGCUACACACGUGCUACAAUGGCGCAUACAAAGAGAAGCGACCUCGCGAGAGCAAGCGGACCUCAUAAAGUGCGUCGUAGUCCGGAUUGGAGUCUGCAACUCGACUCCAUGAAGUCGGAAUCGCUAGUAAUCGUGGAUCAGAAUGCCACGGUGAAUACGUUCCCGGGCCUUGUACACACCGCCCGUCACACCAUGGGAGUGGGUUGCAAAAGAAGUAGGUAGCUUAACCUUCGGGAGGGCGCUUACCACUUUGUGAUUCAUGACUGGGGUGAAGUCGUAACAAGGUA
rnacentral:rRNA from 1 species